AAGAAGUCUCCGUUCUCUUCUCUCAGCCUGCCCAGCUCUCAUCUAUACAGACUGGAGCAUAGUACACGAAGCGGCUCUGCAAUCGACCUGACCCACUCGCCUCUCCAGCAGCAUGGCUUGAUUGCCCUCCAAACGUGCUGGUCAGAAGCUGGACACACACAACCCAAGUGGAUGGUCGGGAUGUUAGUGGAGUCCCAGACGAAGUGGAAGAAAACCUUCCUCCCAAGGCUGGAAACCAUUUUCUCCCUCCUCUUUACUACUCUUAGGGAUGUCAGAAAAGCUUCCUCUUCUCAAGGCUUGGGAUGGCUAAGGACAAACCCAGCUGGACCUUUGAAAUUCCACUCCCCCAAAGAAUGCAGAAAUCAAGAAGUAAAGACUUGGCAGCAGAAGAAAGAGCAGCCUUGAUUUUCAGGGUUGCCCAGGAGGUAGCUCCUUGGGAGUGCCGACAGAAAGGGACUAACUGGGCGGGUCAGUCUUUGAGAAGGAGCCCACAGAGUCUGCAGUAUGGCUGGCCUCACCUGUUUGGCCCUUAGUUUGCUCCUGUGCAAACAAGGCCUCUUGACUAAUCCAAUGAAUGAAUUCCUUCUAACCUUCUUGUGAAAUACUGCAUGCACCACACAGG
rnacentral:lncRNA from 1 species